UAAGAUGGCUGAGCUGCUUAGCGGUGGAUUGUAAGCCCACGAACGGGGGUUUAAUUCCCUCUUUUAC
rnacentral:tRNA from 1 species